rnacentral:rRNA from 1 species
AUUGAACGCUGGCGGCAGGCUUAACACAUGCAAGUCGAGCGGAGAGAGGUAGCUUGCUACCGAUCUUAGCGGCGGACGGGUGAGUAAUGCUUAGGAAUCUGCCUAUUAGUGGGGGACAACAUUUCGAAAGGAAUGCUAAUACCGCAUACGUCCUACGGGAGAAAGCAGGGGAUCUUCGGACCUUGCGCUAAUAGAUGAGCCUAAGUCGGAUUAGCUAGUUGGUGGGGUAAAGGCCUACCAAGGCGACGAUCUGUAGCGGGUCUGAGAGGAUGAUCCGCCACACUGGGACUGAGACAAGGCCCAGACGCCUACGGGAGGCAGCAGUGGGGAAUAUUGGACAAUGGGCGCAAGCCUGAUCCAGCCAUGCCGCGUGUGUGAAGAAGGCCUUAUGGUUGUAAAGCACUUUAAGCGAGGAGGAGGCUACUUUAGUUAAUACCUAGAGAUAGUGGACGUUACUCGCAGAAUAAGCACCGGCUAACUCUGUGCCAGCCGCCGCCGUAAGAC